GGAAGGGGCAGAGCCCUCCCGAGGUUCUCCAUUGGCCAGGCCGAGUUGCCCAAACUUCCCCCCAUCGCCUUUCAUUGGGAAUUCCUGGCAUCCGUCAGCAGGGCCGCGGCGCAUAUAGGUGGACUGGGCGGCCCCCUCCCGGCGCGCACGCCCCCGCCCACUCCCCGGGUUCCCACUCCCCCGCCGCUCAUGUGACACCGGCUUAAGCCGAACGGGACCGAAGCCGGGGGACGCCUCCCCGAGCUGUGGGACCGAGCGGCAGCGCGCCCCGGAGCCCCAGUCGCCGCCUGGGACUGGACACGCUCCCCGCCCGCGGGAAGGCGGCGAACUCCGGCGCGCCGGCCUUACUGCUCCCCCGACGCGCUCCAAACCCCAGGCGGCCCGCGGCUGGAGAAGGGACGCGAGGAAACCCGGAAAGCGUUUCAUUUCUCCUUCCCGGGGUCCGGAGAGGUCAGCACCCAAGGAAAGGGGGCAGGGAAUGCUGGAAUGGAAAGGAAUUUCCCGGGAAUUUCUUGACCAUCCCUCCCGCCUCCGCCCGGCCCCGCCCGUCGCGACCGGGCAGACCCCUGCCCUACGAGUGAGAGCCCGUAUCUUGCCACUGAAUGGCACUCAGGAGCCUCAGAGCUUUCCCGCCUCGCCACCGGCUCCUUUCUGGCCCGACCUCGGUCUCAGGGGACCGCUCUGCCUAGGGGCUUCCCGGGCAGCGCCUACGUCCCCCAACUUUCUGGGAUCCGCUGUCGUUCCCCGCGGGCGGACGGGCCGGAUCUACCCUCGUAUACACCUGGGCAGCACCCUGAAAACUGGGACGGAGGGCCCUGAGUGGUUUACCCACUCCACGCCCCGCCCCCAACACACACACCUGACAAAUGGGGAGACCGAGGCUCAAAGAGUUGGGUUCGAAAAGGGAUUUAGCAGGUUUUCAGGACUCCACAGACUGACCUGUAACCUUAGGCCUGAUAAACAAAGCCUUAUUGUUAUUGGAGGAAGAAAGAGGGCGGGUUUGGCUAAACACCUCUCACUUCUUGGUGCCUGCCUGGGCUUCCUUCCCCAGGCCUAGUAAGGAGGGCCUAAACACACUGCCCCAGCUGUGACAGAUACUGGGAAGAGGCAGCCCUGACCUCCUGGUGGGUUCCUCUGAGGGAUCCCAGACCGAAGAACAGCAGGAGCAAGCAGACCUCCGACAGGUCAUGGGCAUGGUGGGGCUUUUUUUAUAUUGGUGCCCUGAGGAUUAGCUGAGCCAACUCAGGGACUCCAGCGUGUCACCCCAGAGGGGAGUGAAGGAGUUAGAAGAGUGCAUUGCCAGGUAGGGCCAUGAAUUAGGAUACGUGAGAGGCCACAGAGGGAAAAGGUGAAGUGCCUCCGACUCUCAGAACAGCUAGCUGAUGCUGCUGUAAGCCGCUAUCUGUUGCGCUGUCACUCCCUGUAUCAUUAGUCAACCUCACGUUUCUGCAAGUGUUACCGGUCAGCGGCCAGCACUGUGCCUGCCACCAGCCCCUGGCUGAGGAAGCACUGCCUCGGAGCCAGAGAGGGUAGAUUUAUAGACUAUUUUAUAACCAUUUCUGAACUAUGGCUCUAAACCUAACAUAGAGGAUAAUAUCGUGCUGUAGCCAUCCAUUCACUCAAUAAAUAUUUGCUGAGCACCGUCUGUGUGUCCGGGGAUGUGCUAGAUGUUAUGUAUAUACAGAUGAAAAAGACACAAUUCCUUCCCCAUGCAGCCCAGCCGAGACAGGUACAGAAACAAAAAUAUACUGCAAGGAGACAGCUCUGACCACUGAGUCCAGCAGGGGAAGGGAGGCUCCAGGUGGAGCUUUUGGGAGUAGGUGAAAUUCAAGGGAGCCUUGAAAACAAGAGUCAGCCAGAUGAAGAGUGUGGGAGGUUAUUCCAGGCAGAAGGAGCGGUGUGAGUUAGUACAUGGGGGCAGGAAACUGCAGGGUAUAAAAGGAAUGCCUAACAUUUCACUGCGGCUAGACUAGAAAUCCAAGGCCAGGAAGGGCAAGAGAUGGGGCUGUGGAGAUGGGCAGCGGCCAGACCACGUAGGCCCGGUGCACCAUGUGAAGUGUGGAUCUGUGGGGAAUGAGGCUGUACAGAAGCUUUGAGAACCAGGUGCAAAGCAAUUGCAAUAAUCCGGGUAGGAAUGGCCCCUUAGUCCAUUUGGGCCGCUGUAACAGAAUCCCGUAGACUGGGUGGCUUCGACAAGAACGUUUAUUUCUCAGGGUUCUGGAGGCUGGGAAGUCCAAGGUCAGAUUCGGUGUGGUGAGAGCCCACAUCCUGGCUCCUAGACAGCCAUCUUCUGUGUCCUCAAGUGGUGGUAGGAGCUCUGCCCUCAUGACACCCACUCAUCCUCCUAAUACCGUCGCUCUGGGGGGUGGGGGGGCAGGAUUUCAAAAUGUGAAUUUGGGCGGGACAUGAACUUCAGUCUCUUGCAAAUGGAGAAGAGUGGAUAGACAAGAAAUACCUAGAAAAUAAAACUGAGUGCCUCAGAGUUUCAGUGUGAGAACAGAGGAGUCUUUGCUGCUCUCGACCAAUGUCCCAUAUGGAAUAGACCAUGCAAUUUAUCUAUAUUAUCUUAGGUAAGUUCUACUAUGAGAUGAGGGCUGUCUCUGCCUUACAGAGAAAACCAACCAAAGCUCAGUGAGGUAGCUAACUAGCCCCAUAUACACGUAACACACAUACAUGUGACACCUAAACCCAUGCUUUGGCCCCAGUGUUUCUCAACCCUAGGAUAGUUUGACACCCUCCUUCCCAGGGGAUAUUUGGCAAUAUCUGGAGACACUUUCUAGUUGUCACAACUGGCGGGUCCCUGCUGGCAUGCAGUGGACAGAAGCUAAACAUCUGUUAACAAGCAGGACAAGACAGUCUCCCCACAACAAAGAAUGAUCCAGCCCGAAAUAUCAACAGUACUAGGGUUGAGAACCCCUGCCUUAAUUAUUGGUUUCUAGUUUGGAUGAUCUGGUGAAUGGUGGCAGUACGACCAACUGACAAAGAAUUUCAGAUUUGGGAAUGGAAUCCUGGAUUGAACGCACGGAGCUUGAAGGGCUCAGAGAAUGUUCAGAUUCGGUGGUCCGGCAAGCAGGUGACCGCAUGGCCCUGACCUCAGAGGAAACAGAUCUGAGAGUCAUCUGUGUACAGGUGGUAUUGACCCCAUGUGACCACCCAUGAAGAAUAACGAAUGCCUAAGCGGGACUGGGAAGGGACCACGGCUGAACCAGGAGAAGCAGCACUUGGAAGGAAAUAUAAAGAACAAGGUCCCCUGAUGGAGACAGAGAGGAAGGGGUCAGCAGGAACACAGAGAGCCUGGCCCACUCUGUGUCAUAAAAGUCAAAGGUACGAAGUUUCAAAGUGAGGGGAGUCAGCAACAUCAGAUAUAUCAGGAAAAUAAGGCUUAAUGAAGUAUUCUUUGCAUGUGAUCAUUGAAAAUUCACUGGUGUCCUUUGCCUGUGGAAUUUCAAUAAUGUGGCCAAAGCUGUGACUUUAAGAGACACUAUCCAGGAAUAAAGGACAACAGUGAAUAUAGAAGUCCCAGACAGCGGUCCAAAGGAGGAAUUUUUUUCUUUGAAUAGGAGAAACUUGAGGAAGGAUUCCGUUGAGAGGAAAGAACUGAAAAGGCAAGCAAGUGAAAGGGAAGAGGCCCCACAGGAUGGACUGAAGGUGUGGAAUUGACCGGUCUUUCCAUCCAGGACUCACUGGUGGCCAUCACACUGUGAUACUAGUUCCAUAUAACGCCAUCUCCCACAGAGAAAACAGAAUUACUAAACAUGCUGAUUUUUUACAGAUACUAAGGUGCGAUGACAAAGGAACCGAGAUCGAGGCCAGAAUUCUUGCCAUUCUUGCCAUUCACUGCCAUGGCAGGUGGCCAUGAACUAAGGCUCAAGAAGUUUGCUCAAGUCAUGGCAGGGCAGACAACAUUGAUGUCCCUUCAGGCACCAGUCAGGCCUUUCCCUGGAUGGGAGAUCUCCUGACUCAGCAGCAACAGCCUCUGAGACUAGCCGAAUCCACCACCAGCACUGCAGACAACUGUUUCUGCCCCAAUCUAGUCGGUAAUGAGUCACCCAGAAAGCCAUAAGUGCUUUGCUAUUGAAAGAACCUAGGUCUGGAGUAGAUGACCCAAUUUCCUUGGAAAGAAGAAAUCAUGUCUAUGAGUUCUGGGAGUACUUAUUAGGCACCUACUCUGUGCCAGGCAGAAUUCUAGGAGACCCACAGAAGAGCCCUAUUCCUCCCAAACCUUCUGGACUAGCUGCGGCCAAACAAUGGGUUUCCGCCUCUAGAAUUCAUCAUCCAAGAAUCCAUCAGAUACUUACUGACAGGCUGAGAGAAUAGAAAUGAAUUGGACUGCCACGUGAGGUGACAUAAACAAUGUAGAGUACCAGCCCAGUGCCUGACAUGCACCAGGCCACCUAGAUGCUCAGCAGUUUCUUUUUCUUACCCCACUAUGUGUCAUUCAUUGGCCGUGCAAGUCCCCAUGAGGAAACACAAAAAAAGCAGCAUCUGCAAGAUUCUGGAAAGUAAAAGCUCUGUGGACCUCCCAGCCCAGAGUUCUGGGGAUUUCCUUCAGCGUGUCCCAAAUCUCUAACCUUACACCCUAAUGGUCACGGGUUCCUUAUUGGCUCUUCCUGAGAGAACUAAGGACAGUAGUAUUUGCAGAAGGCUAAAAGGAGGGAGGGAAGUCACCAUGGUUUCUUGGGUUCCUGGCUCCAUAGGUCAGAGAUCUCAGUUGCAUUGCCGGUCCCAACAGCAGUCUAAUUUAUGCACGCCUUUGUCACUGAAUUCCCAUAGACACCAUUUAUGGUUGUCUCUCUAAUAUAUAUCAUAUAUUAUAGCGUUCUCUAUUGUGCUUCUUUGUCCCCGUGUUAUUUCCUAUUGUCACACUGUGGUUUCAUCCCUCUUCCUUCCCCCACACAGGGCCUAGAACACCAUAGGUGCUCCAGUUCAAUCUUUGCUGAAUGAAACAAUGCGUUAGGCAAAUUCCAUCUCGGUGCCUCAGUUUCCCUCAUCAACCUGUAGGAGGCCCUGGAAGUCCAGUCCUUUGCCAUAACCUAUGUAAGCCUUUCCUAAGUCUUCUGACCACCCAAGGAGCCAGUGCUGGAGACACGGAUGUGGCCAUCUAGCUCACAUGCCUCAGCCAGCAGCUCCCAGCCCUCACCAGGCCUACCUCUUCACCACCAGGGAAAGGUUGUUUGCCUCUAGGCCAGCUCCUGCCCCUCCCACUACACGCGGCUCAGGGGAGGAGAGAACACAGUUUCCCUCUAGCAGAAUCUCUAGUAAAGGACAGGCCUAGAGCACGCAGCAGUUUGUUUCCAUGCUCUGCCUCGUUCUCGGGUCUAGGUGCCAAGUGAUGGAACAUCUGGCCUCUCUGGUGCCCUCUUUUUCAUCUUUUGGCAUAAAUCUUUACCCCAAAUUCCAGAGGAAAUCCAGGCAGGACCCUCAGAAGUCUUCACUUCCGAUUAUUACCCUGAGACGGGUUCUGUGAGCAAGAGAUAGUCAUGCCUGCUAGCUGCCAAACCUGAGUCCUCCAAGGAGGGCCGCGAGCUCCCCCAGCUACCUCUAGUUCCCAGCAAAUCACAGCUGGGAAAUUCCUGUUGAGUAACACACGCCCCUGCCCCAUUUUAGGAGCUGGCAGGCAGAAUCCAGGCCGGGGGAACGCGUUGCAGGGAAGUCUGAUUAACCUCAGCUUCCCUCUCUUAGCAACUGGGUCCCACUGGUCUCCCACAGAAGCUGAGCCCCAGAGGCCUGCCCAGGGCGCUUCCUAGAAAUGAGAGAAAAAUCUUCUGGCAGCAAGGUAACCUCAGAAGAAGACUCGGGGCCAGGAGACCUGUGCCCCCCGGGCUUUGGUUUAUUCACCUGCAAAGUAAGAGGGCUGGACUCACCAGAUGGUGGUUAAGCCCUGAGCCCUACCCUAAGAACAUCUUUCUCAGGCUCCUUCUCUAUAUUGCGAUGACAAGUGGGUUUGAGUCCAAUCUUGAAUAUAAACAAAUUCCUCUAGGGGCGCCUGGGUGGCUCAAUUGGUUAAGCGUCUGACUCUUGAUUUUGGCUCAGGUCAUGGUCUCACGGUUGUGGGAUCCAUCGACUGAGCCCCCGCGUCGCGGUCUGCGCACUGAGUGUGGAGCCUGCUUGGGAUUCUCCUUCUCCCUCUCCCUCUGCCCCUCUCCUGCUCACUCUCCCUCUCUCUCUUUCUUUCAAAAUAAAUAAAUAAACAUUGACAAAAAAAAUAAGCAAGUUCCUCUAUAAAAGAUACAGAGUCUCACAAAGUUACUUAAUUUUUGUUUUAAUGUUCCUUAAAUAUAUACAAACGGAAAACUAGGUACACACUUGUUAAGGUUUUAGGUUUACAAUUAACAUAGAAUAAAAACAAGCUUACAAAUUCCCAUCUAAAAGAAACUAUAAAAGCAGUAAGACUCACCUUAGCCGCUUUAAUUUAAAUUUGACUGGUGCUAUUUGCCCAAGUGAAACUGCUCCUCCCAGCAUGACUGAAGUUCUGGCGGUGACAGAGUAGGUGGCCCUUUUGCCUUCAGGACGCCUGUCUUCCCGCAUGCCUUCCCGUGACUCUGUUCUACUGUCUCAACUGCUGCAACAGGGCAUCACUUAACCCUUGGAGGGAACACACCAUUAUGCAUUAAGUUCCCUUCUCCUGUGUUCUCAUUAGCAUUCCACAAUUAAAGACGUUUCCUUUUUUUUUUUUUUUUUAAGUUCUUUUUAAUCUUUUUGCCAACAGG